rnacentral:rRNA from 1 species
CCCCGAGGCCACGCUGCCCUGAACGCGCCCGAUCCCGGCCGAUCUCAGAAGCUAAGUAGGGUCGGGCCUGGUGAGUACUCAGAUGAGAGACCAUCUAGGAAGACCGGGUGCUGCAGGCG